rnacentral:rRNA from 1 species
AUUGAACGCUGGCGGCAGGCCUAACACAUGCAAGUCGAACGAGUGGCGGACGGGUGAGUAAUGUCUGGGAAACUGCCUGAUGGAGGGGGAUAACUACUGGAAACGGUAGCUAAUACCGCAUACCAUCAGAUGUGCCCAGAUGGGAUUGGCGAGUGGGUGGGGUAACGACUCACCAAGGCGACGAUCCCUAGCUGGUCUGAGAGGAUGACCAGCCACACUGGAACGGAGACACGGUCCAGACGCCGACGGGAGGCAGCAGGUGGGAAUAUUGCACAAUGGGCGAAAGCCUGAUGCAGCCAUGCCGCGGGUAUGAAGAAGGCCUUCGGGUUGUAAAGUACUGUCAGCGGGGAGGCGUUACCCGCAGAAGAAGCACCGGCUAACUCCGUGCCAGCCGCCGCGGUAAUUC